rnacentral:rRNA from 1 species
GACGAACGCUGGCGGCGUGCUUAACACAUGCAAGUCGAACGGAAAGGCCCUGCUUUUGUGGGGUGCUCGAGUGGCGAACGGGUGAGUAGCACGUGAGUAACCUGCCCUUGACUUUGGGAUAACUUCAGGAAACUGGGGCUAAUACCGGAUAGGAGCUCCUGCUGCAUGGUGGGGGUUGGAAAGUUUCGGCGGUUGGGGAUGGAUUCGCGGCUUAUCAGCUUGUUGGUGGGGUAGUGGCUUACCAAGGCUUUGACGGGUAGCCGGCCUGAGAGGGUGACCGGCCACAUGGGGACUGAGAUACGGCCCAGACUCCUACGGGAGGCAGCAGUGGGGAAUAUUGCACAAUGGGCGGAAGCCUGAUGCAGCAACGCCGCGUGCGGGAUGACGGCCUUCGGGUUGUAAACCGAUUUCGCCGGUGCCGAAGCGUGAGUGACGGUAAUGGGUAAAGAAGCACCGGCUAACUACGUG